rnacentral:rRNA from 1 species
UACGGAGGGUGCGAGCGUUAAUCGGAAUGACUGGGCGUAAAGGGCACGUAGGCGGAUAGAUAAGCGGUUUGUGAAAGGCUCGGGCUUAACCUGGGGAUGGCAAGCCGAACUAUUUAUCUCGAGUUUUGGAGAGGGGAGUGGAAUUUCCGGAGUAGCGGUGAAAUGCGUAGAUUUCGGAAGGAACACCAGUGGCGAAGGCGACUCUCUGGCCAAAGACUGACGCUGAGGUGCGAAAGUGUGGGGAGCAAACAGG